CACCUUUGUUGCUUUGGCGGGCCCGCCUCGGCCACCGGCUCCGGCUGGUGAGCGCCCGCCAGAGGACCCCAAACUCUGAAAUUUAGUGUCGUCUGAGUACUAUAUAAUAGUUAAAACUUUCAACAACGGAUCUCUUGGUUCUGGCAUCGAUGAAGAACGCAGCGAAAUGCGAUAAGUAAUGUGAAUUGCAGAAUUCAGUGAAUCAUCGAAUCUUUGAACGCACAUUGCGCCCCUUGGUAUUCCGGGGGGCAUGCCUGUUCGAGCGUCAUUACAACCCUCAAGCUCUGCUUGGUAUUGGGCGUCCCCGGCGACGGGGUGCCCUAAAAUCAGUGGCGGUGCCGUCUGGCUCUAAGCGUAGUAAAUCUCUCGCUCUGGAUGCCCGGUGGAUGCUCGCCAGAACCCCCCAUUUUUACAGGUUGACCU
rnacentral:rRNA from 1 species